rnacentral:rRNA from 1 species
UGGGGAAUAUUGCACAAUGGGCGGAAGCCUGAUGCAGCGACGCCGCGUGGGGGAUGAAGGCCUUCGGGUUGUAAACUCCUUUCGACAGGGACUAAGCUUUUGUGACGGUACCUGUAUAAGAAGCACCGGCUAACUACGUGCCAGCAGCCGCGGUAAUACGUAGGGUGCGAGCGUUGUCCGGAAUUACUGGGCGUAAAGAGCUCGUAGGUGGUUUGUCGCGUCGUCUGUUAAAUUCCGGGGCUUAACUCCGGGCGUGCAGGCGAUACGGGCUGACUGGAGUGCUGUAGGGGAGACUGGAAUUCCUGGUGUAGCGGUGAAAUGCGCAGAUAUCAGGAGGAACACCGAUGGCGAAGGCAGGUCUCUGGGCAGUAACUGACGCUGAGGAGCGAAAGCAUGGGUAGCGAACAGG